GGUUGUGGCUCAGUGGUAGAGCACUUGCCUAGCAUGUGUGAGACACUGGAUUCGAUCCUCAGCACCA
rnacentral:tRNA from 1 species